rnacentral:rRNA from 1 species
AUGAACGCUGGCGGCGUGCCUAAUACAUGCAAGUCGAGCGAACAGAUAAGGAGCUUGCUCCUUUGACGUUAGCGGCGGACGGGUGAGUAACACGUGGGUAACCUACCUAUAAGACUGGGAUAACUUCGGGAAACCGGAGCUAAUACCGGAUAACAUUUGGAACCGCAUGGUUCUAAAGUGAAAGAUGGUUUUGCUAUCACUUAUAGAUGGACCCGCGCCGUAUUAGCUAGUUGGUAAGGUAACGGCUUACCAAGGCGACGAUGCGUAGCCGACCUGAGAGGGGGAUAGGCCACACUGGAACUGAGACACGGUCCAGACUCCUACGGGAGGCAGCAGUAGGGAAUCUUACGCAAUGGGCGAAAGCCUGACGGAGCAACGCCGCGUGAGUGAUGAAGGGUUUCGGCUCGUAAAACUCUGUUAUUAGGGAAGAACAAAUGUGUAAGUAACUGUGCACGUCUUGACGGUACCUAAUCAGAAAGCCACGGCUAACUACGUG